CAGUAGCCGCGGUAAUACGUAGGGUGCAAGCGUUAAUCGGAAUUACUGGGCGCAAAGCGUGCGCAGGCGGUUAUAUAAGUCAGAUGUGAAGUCCCCGGGCUCAACCUGGGAACUGCAUUUGAGACUGUAUGGCUAGAGUGUGUCAGAGGAUGGUGGAAUUCCCGGUGUAGCGGUGAAAUGCGUAGAGAUCGGGAGGAACAUCAGUGGCGAAGGCGGCCAUCUGGGACAACACUGACGCUGAAGCACGAAAGCGUGGGGAGCAAACAGGAUUAGAUACCCGUGUAGUCCCUGUCUCUUAUAC
rnacentral:rRNA from 1 species